GACCCGGAUACGGCGUGUUCUGUGACGUCACCAUCCACCGCCGUGUAUGAGAUCAGAAAUGUGACGUCACCGGUGAAUGUUUCUCAACCAGAAUUUGAAGUCAGGAUCUCUAGCACCGUGACUGAAGCUGCCAUCGACUUCAACGACCAGGCCGUGCCGUUGACGUUAACGAUACGGUGUACUGACGGCAACCCCGUCAACGUCAUCACCGGGACUUUCAACGUCAAUAUCGUUGAUGAGGACCCAGUUCUAACGUCGUUUCCUAUGACGUCAUAUCAGUUCCUAGAAGACACUUCCAUUUCCGCUCUGGAGCUAAACUCAUUCAGCCUUAAAGAUUCUGAUGACGUCAUAUCUGCUUGAUGUCAUCUGUCAAAUCUGAAAAUCAACGUCAAAGCGUUUCAGAUUUGGUACAAGGGACGCCCGCGAGCGUCCUUGAACUAUGACGUCACGCCCGUUCAUAACAUCGGGAUUAUUUGCGACGACGGCAAAGUCUUUAGCGCGAGAUAUUAUUACGCAGUGGAUCUGGAAAACAACGUAAGUAAUCCAAGACGAAGAACAGCCCAACUGUAUGUCUGUCAUGGAUUAUACUUGGUAUACUAACAAAGAGGAAAUUACGCCCCUCCCAUUUUCCACCAUUGGUCAAAGCCUCCGGUGUUUGUUAACCUUCCUGCGGUUACUUUACGUCAAUAGCGGAGUCAGUGACGUCUAAAACAUUGCUAUAUUCUCUCACAGUAUCGGACCUAGGCGGAAUUCGGGGGUCACUGGUUCGAGCCCUGCUGCGUGCUACUUUUUUGUUCAAUCCUUUUUUAAUUUUUAUUUUUGAUUUUUUACUGGAGCUUUUAAAAUUUCAUGUUUACAUUUAUCAAUAUAAAGUAUUUGAUUACAAACUUCAAAACAUGCCAAAAUCUGUGAAAAGGCCCCUUUAACACUACACACAUUUGAUCAAAAUGAGUAUCGUAUUUUUACAUAUAAUUAUUAGUCGCCCGCAUGGUCCAUUUUGCCCCGCAUUAAUUUUUAAAGCAGAGUUUUUAUUUCUAUUCGUUUCAUUUUGGUAAACCCUACAUAUUUUACGACACAUACUGUUUAUUGUUCUUUAAACUGUUAUUAAUGCAAAAUGACACCAUCUAAUAAGCUGUAUGCGCUUGGUAGAUGAUCAGCAAAUACUUACACGAUGACUUUUGUUAUUUUGCACCUUACGCUCACCUCUAAUAUCGCAAAUUAAAUACCACUGUACUUGUAUUGCGCUCGAUCGCUCACAAGUUUCGGAAGACUAUUCCGUCGAUCAAUUGCUCAAUGUAUUGUUACUAAACCCAAUGCGUUCUAUGUUUCUAGCAAAAGUGUGAUAUUUUUAUUUUUUUAAUUACACUUUCUUCGGAUUGUUUUCGUCAAAUUAAGUUGUAUCAAAAUGUUGUUUAUGUGUAAAAAGAUAAUUGCGUCAAUAGAAAAUCACACUUUGUCAACAAAACGUAACGCUACGAAGGUGGAUUUCUUCUUUUUUUGUACUCAAAGGGUAAAACUAUGUCGUUUUAAUAUAAAAAAUUACGUCUAAGAUCUUCUUUAUGUUUAUUUCAAGUUCCACCAUGUUACUUGAGCGAUACUGCGUUUGCCGCGGGCAUUCUACCCUUGGAGCAAAGUACUGUGACACCGCAAAAUACUCAGUACCUGGUGUACGCCCAUAAUCCGGGCGGAUUCGAUUUCAAAAGUUCCGGAGCCGUGAACGCCGAGAACACGUGCGGCGACUCCGUGUCCACCGUCAGAGAGACGCUGAUUGUGAACAUCAUCAGUACGA